UAUGAGCCUGUGACCCGGCUGUUUACACGGACGCUGAGGUCGCCCUGACCCUGCAAGCAAAGAGCGUUCACUGAAGUCCGCGAAGCUGCUGGCCUGUGGACGGUGCGGGGAGGAUGCGUGAGGGCGCCUGGAGGAUGCGCCAGUAAUUACAGGGGAGGGCCAUCUGAGUGCUGGCUUGGGAUGCAGUCACAUCGGUGAAGAAGACGGCCAUGGGCUUAUGUUUUGGUGGCAAGACAGCUCCUCUGCCUCAAAAGGGAAAAGAAAAGAGAAGAGAAAAGAAAAAGAAUAUAGGAUUGCAUCACCCUGCUCCUGUCCACGUGACUUGCUUUGGUCAACGUAUUGUGAGCAGAAGAGAUAUGUCACUCUGGAUAAGAACCUUUAAGAACCAUAUUUCUCUCACCAUGUCAUGGUAAUCAGCGAUCCCCUGAUGGUGGGGCGGCUACAGGCUGGGUCUAGGAAUGAGGAUGACUUAAAAGGAAGCCCAGCCCAGGCGGGGCAUACAGCAUGAAUGAGAAAUAAACCUUUUCGGUUUUGCUUGUUAGGCAGCAUAACCCCGCCUAUCCUAUCUCAUAAUAACAGCUAGAAAUGUCUUCAGGGAACCCAACAUCCCAGAAAACCUGGUUUGCAAAGUUCUGAGUAUGCCACUCUCCACAAAAAAAAAAAAAAUUUUUUUAAAUUAUCUUUUCAUUCUUUUUUUUUUAAUUAAAACCUCCUCAGGAAGCUGAGGCAGGAGAAUUGCUUGAGCCCAGGAGGUCAAGGCUCCGGUGAGCUGUGAUUGCACCACUGCACUCCAGCCUGAGCCACAAAGCAAGACCCUGCCUCAAAAAAAAAAAAAAAAUUAAAAAAAUAAAAACCAACCCAAAUUUCACUGGCCUUGGGGAGAGGAGACUGGAUCUUCCCUUUGGAGUCAUCCACCUAUUAGUUUGGGACACCCUGUGGGGGGCCCUUGUUUGUCACCUUCCUAGGGGGUGAGCACCCUAAGGUGAAGGCAACCUCCUCUCGUUGCCUGUCUCCCAGCACCUGCCCUCUGAGGAGUGAAGACGAAUCGGUGAAAAAAACCUGGAAGGGCAUCCCCAGGCAGAGGUCCACUCAGGAAGCAGGGUGACUCUGGGGAGAGGCUCUGAGCUGCUGGUGGGACUGCAGGAGCUGGAGAGGGUGUGCUGGGACGGAGUCUGGAGGCACUGGAAGGUGCUGGAGGUGUGGUGGGGCCUCAGCAUGCCCAGCAGCAAUGUGGAAGACAGAUGAGCCCCGAGGCUGAAAACAGACCUCAGCCUCCAGAGGGAAGCUGCUGCAGCAUCCCAGAUAAAAAGUACCAGGGCUGACCCUGGCAGUGGUAGGCUGGGGACAAGUGGUCACUUUCCAGAGAUGACAGCAAAGGCAGCACUGGGACAAGCUGGAGAUGGGGUGAAGGGCCCCCCUGAGUCCCCAGUUCCAGGCUUGGGUGGCUUGGGAGCUGCAGAGCUGAGGUGCUGUGAACUGGAGGGCUUGAUGUUGUCGGGCUGCUGGUGUUGAGUAGAGCCGGAAGGUGGGUAGGUGGCUCCAAAGCCCACCAGAGUCAGAGACUGAGAGGUCAUCAGGGGGAGUACAGCCUUCCCAGAGGUGGCUGUACACACUCAGCAGAGUGGCUGCAGCUAGGCCUUGGUGACAAGCUUGGUGCCCAGGAUGGAGAUGGGGCUCCUGAGAGUCUGGGGUUGAGGAAGGAGGGGGAUUCUAGGAGAGUCCAGUCCACAGUGCCUAGGAAAGAGCCCCUGUGCUGCAGCAGGGCCAUCCAGGGAGUGAGGCCACAACCCCCCAGGGAGGACUGUCCUAGAUGAGCUUGGCUAUGAGGGAAGCAGGGGACAUAGGUGCUCCUUGGAAAGGAUGUAGAUGGGGAGAGUGCUUUAAGAAUCACAUUUAUUAGGAGUUAUUUUCUCAUGCUGAAAGAAAUACAUACUGUUCAUCACAGAAACUUGGCCAACACAUAUAAACACAACAAAUAAAAUACAAUUACAAAUAACAGCCUAACAUAACUGCCGUAAGGGUUUGAUAUACAUCCUCACCAUCUUUUUUUUUUUUUUUUUUCAGACAGAGUCUUACUGUGUCUCCGCUCACUGCAACCUCUGCCUCCUGGGUUCUAGCGAUUCUCCCACAUCAGCCUCCAGAGUAUCUGGGAUUACAGGUGCCUGCCACCAUGCCUGGCUAAUUUUUGUGGUUUUAGUAGAGAUGGGGUUUCACCCAGGCUGGUCUUGAACUCCUGACUUCAAGUGAUCUGCCCGCCUCAGCCUCCCAAAGUGCUGGGAUUAUAGGCAUGAGGCACCGCCCAGCCCUCUGUCUUUUUAUAUAGACACACAGAUACAUAUAUACACCCACACACUUUUUUUUUUUUUUU